rnacentral:lncRNA from 1 species
CUCAGGCCCAGCUCUGUAAACAGGUCUGAACUGAAAGAAAACAAUUCAGUCACUUUUUGAGGUUCUAAUACAUUUGCUCUACCUAUCACAAAUUAUAUUUCAUCUUCAUGUAUCUUUUCUCAGCUGGGGCUUUGCUCUUCACAGGCAAAUGGAAUGGUAUCAGUCCCUCCAGACUGUAUCUCCUCUACUGACACUCUGUGCCAGGUGAUCCAGUUGAGAUCCAGUUGGACACAUCAACAGAUC